AGAGUUUGAUCCUGGCUCAGAACGAACGCUGGCGGCGUGUUUAAGACAUGCAAGUCGCACGGGGCAGGUUGAGUAGCAAUACGAGAUCUGUUCAGUGGCGCACGGGUGAGUAACACGUGAAUCACAUGCCCUUCAGUGGGGGAUAGCCCAGGGAAACUUGGAUUAAUACCCCAUGGUCUCGCGAGAGUAAAGGCGGCCGCAAGGCUGUCGCUGGAGGAUUGGUUCGCGCCCUAUCAGCUUGUUGGCGGGGUAACGGCCCACCAAGGCUACGACGGGUACCUGGUCUGAGAGGACGAUCAGGCACACUGGAACUGAGACACGGUCCAGACACCUACGGGUGGCAGCAGUCGAGAAUAAUUCACAAUGGGGGCAACCCUGAUGGUGCAACGCCGCGUGGAGGAUGACGGUCUUCGGAUUGUAAACUCCUGUCAUCUGGGAGUAAGACCUGGCCGUGAAUAGCGGACAGGGUUGAUAGUACCAGAAGAGGAAGGGACGGCUAACUUCGUGCCAGCAGCCGCGGUAAUACGAAGGUCCCGAGCGUUGUUCGGAAUCACUGGGCGUAAAGGGAGCGUAGGCGGCGUGGCAAGUCAGACGUGAAAUCCCGGGG
rnacentral:rRNA from 1 species